CAGAAGGGUCAAGUUUUGGUUAGCGAUAUGCUAACGGUCUAAUUAGAUUCAAUGAUCUAUGCUAAGCUACAGCUAAAAGUGCUACCACCAGACACGCAGAUCGGCUGAAUGGAUUCG